rnacentral:rRNA from 1 species
AGAGUUUGAUCAUGGCUCAGAGCGAACGCUGGCGGCAGGCUUAACACAUGCAAGUCGAACGGGCACUUCGGUGCUAGUGGCAGACGGGUGAGUAACGCGUGGGAACGUGCCUUUCGGUUCGGAAUAAUCCAGGGAAACUUGGACUAAUACCGGAUACGCCCUUCGGGGGGAAAGAUUUAUCGCCGAAAGAUCGGCCCGCGUCUGAUUAGCUAGUUGGUGAGGUAAAGGCUCACCAAGGCGACGAUCAGUAGCUGGUCUGAGAGGACGACCAGCCACACUGGGACUGAGACACGGCCCAGACUCCUACGGGAGGCAGCAGUGGGGAAUUUUGGACAAUGGGGGCAACCCUGAUCCAGCAAUGCCGCGUGAGUGAAGAAGGCCUUCGGGUUGUAAAGCUCUUUUGUCAGGGAAGAAACGGUGAGGGCUAAUAUCCCUUGCUAAUGACGGUACCUGAAGAAUAAGCACCGGCUAACUACGUG